UAUAUACCGGUUCUCGUUAGAUCACCGAAGUCAAGCAUCAUUGGGCGCGGUCAGUACUUGGGUGGGUGACCACCUGGGAACACCGCGUG